AGAACGAACGCUGGCGGCGCGCCUAACACAUGCAAGUCGAGCGCCUCACUUUCGGGUGGGGAGCGGCGCACGGGUGAGUAACGCGUGGGAAUCUACCCUGGGGUUCGGGACAACGGCGGGAAACUGCCGCUAACACCGGAUACGGCCUUUGGCGAAAGUUCACGCCCUGGGAUGAGCCCGCGUCCGAUUAGCUUGUUGGUGAGGUAACGGCUCACCAAGGCUUCGAUCGGUAGCCGGUCUGAGAGGAUGAUCGGCCACACUGGGACUGAGACACGGCCCAGACUCCUACGGGAGGCAGCAGUGGGGAAUCUUGGACAAUGGGCGCAAGCCUGAUCCAGCCAUGCCGCGUGGGUGAUGAAGGCCCUAGGGUUGUAAAGCCCUUUCGGCGGGGAAGAUAAUGACGGUACCCGCAGAAGAAGCCCCGGCUAACUUCGUGCCAGCAGCCC
rnacentral:rRNA from 1 species